rnacentral:rRNA from 1 species
AUUGAACGCUGGCGGCAUGCUUUACACAUGCAAGUCGAACGGUAACAGGCCGCAAGGUGCUGACGAGUGGCGAACGGGUGAGUAAUGCAUCGGAACGUGCCCAGUCGUGGGGGAUAACUACUCGAAAGAGUAGCUAAUACCGCAUACGAUCUAUGGAUGAAAGCGGGGGACCGUAAGGCCUCGCGCGAUUGGAGCGGCCGAUGUCAGAUUAGGUAGUUGGUGGGGUAAAGGCUCACCAAGCCAACGAUCUGUAGCUGGUCUGAGAGGACGACCAGCCACACUGGGACUGAGACACGGCCCAGACUCCUACGGGAGGCAGCAGUGGGGAAUUUUGGACAAUGGGCGCAAGCCUGAUCCAGCAAUGCCGCGUGCAGGAAGAAGGCCCUCGGGUUGUAAACUGCUUUUGUACGGAACGAAACGGCUCUGGUUAAUACCCGGGGCUAAUGACGGUACCGUAAGAAUAAGCACCGGCUAACUACGUG